rnacentral:rRNA from 1 species
UACGGAGGGUGCGAGCGUUGUCCGGAAUCACUGGGCGUAAAGGGCGCGUAGGCGGCUACUUAAGCGUGUGGUGAAAGUCCGGGGCUCAACCCCGGAUCGGCCGUGCGAACUGAGUGGCUCGAGCACUGUAGAGGCAGGUGGAAUUCCGGGUGUAGCGGUGGAAUGCGUAGAGAUCCGGAGGAAGACCGGUGGCGAAGGCGGUCUGCUGGGCAGUUUCUGACACUGAGGCGCGACAGCGUGGGGAGCAAACAGG